AGUAAUGUCUCGGAAACUGCCUGAUGGAGGGGGAUAACUACUGGAAACGGUAGCUAAUACCGUAUAACGUCUUCGGGCCAAAGGGGGGGACCUUCGGGCCUCACACCAUCGGAUGUGCCCAGAUGGGAUUAGCUAGUAGGUGGGGUAAUGGCUCACCUAGGCGACGAUCCCUAGCUGGUCUGAGAGGAUGACCAGCCACACUGGAACUGAGACACGGUCCAGACUCCUACGGGAGGCAGCAGUGGGGAAUAUUGCACAAUGGGCGCAAGCCUGAUGCAGCCAUGCCGGGUGUAUGAAGAAGGCCUUCGGGUUGUAAAGUACUUUCAGCGGGGAGGAAGGCGAUAAGGGUAAUAACCUUGUCGAUUGACGUUACCCGCAGAAGAAGCACCGGCUAACUCCGUGCCACAGCCGCGGUAAUACGGAGGGUGCAAGCGUUAUCGGAAUUACUGG
rnacentral:rRNA from 1 species